rfam:Sarcophilus harrisii ctg7180002523792, whole genome shotgun sequence.
AAGCUCCUCGAACAGCCUCCAUCUAUAGGAAUUUUUUAAAGAUUUUUUGGUUAUUUUUCGGCAGGUUUCUCAUAGGGUUCUCCAGCCGAACUAGGGUGACCAGCCUCUCUCGCUAAAUUGAUGCGAUCAGGCAUC